rnacentral:rRNA from 1 species
AGCGAAUGCUGGCGGCAGGCCUAACACAUGCAAGUCGAACGAACCUUUCGGGGUUAGUGGCGGACGGGUGAGUAACACGUGGGAACGUGCCUUUAGGUUCGGAAUAACUCAGGGAAACUUGUGCUAAUACCGAAUGUGCCCUUCGGGGGAAAGAUUAAUCGCCUUUAGAGCGGCCCGCGUCUGAUUAGCUAGUUGGUUGAGGUAAUGGCUCACCAAGGCGACGAUCAGUAGCUGGUCUGAGAGGAUGAUCAGCCACAUUGGGACUGAGACACGGCCCAAACUCCUACGGGAGGCAGCAGUGGGGAAUCUUGCGCAAUGGGCGAAAGACUGACGCAGCCAUGCCGCGGGAAUGAUGAAGGUCUUAGGAUUGUAAAAUUCUUUCACCGGGGACGAUAAUGACGGUACCCGGAGAAGAAGCCCCGGCUAACUUCGUG